rnacentral:rRNA from 1 species
UACGAAGGGGGCUAGCGUUGCUCGGAAUCACUGGGCGUAAAGCGCACGUAGGCGGAUUCUUAAGUCGGUGGUGAAAUCCUGGAGCUCAACUCCAGAACUGCCUUCGAUACUGAGAGUCUUGAGUUCGGGAGAGGUGAGUGGAACUGCGAGUGUAGAGGUGAAAUUCGUAGAUAUUCGCAAGAACACCAGUGGCGAAGGCGGCUCACUGGCCCGGUACUGACGCUGAGGUGGCGAAAGCGUGGGGAGCAAACAGGG